GGCCAGACUCCUACGGGAGGCAGCAGUGGGGAAUAUUGCACAAUGGGGGAAACCCUGAUGCAGCGACGCCGCGUGAGUGAAGAAGUAUUUCGGUAUGUAAAGCUCUAUCAGCAGGGAAGAAAAUGACGGUACCUGACUAAGAAGCCCCGGCUAACUACGUGCCAGCAGCCGCGGUAAUACGUAGGGGGCAAGCGUUAUCCGGAUUUACUGGGUGUAAAGGGAGCGUAGACGGCAUGGCAAGUCAGAUGUGAAAGCUCGGGGCUCAACCCCGGGACUGCAUUUGAAACUGUCAGGCUGGAGUGCAGGAGAGGUAAGUGGAAUUCCUAGUGUAGCGGUGAAAUGCGUGGAUAUUAGGAGGAACACCAGUGGCGAAGGCGGCUUACUGGACUGUAACUGACGUUGAGGCUCGAAAGCGUGGGGAGCAAACAGGAUUAGAUACCCCCGUAC
rnacentral:rRNA from 1 species